rnacentral:rRNA from 1 species
UACGUAGGGACCAAGCGUUGUUCGGAUUUACUGGGCGUAAAGGGCGCGUAGGCGGCUUAACAAGUCACUUGUGAAAUCUCCGGGCUUAACCCGGAGCGGUCAAGUGAUACUGUCGUGCUAGAGUGCGGAAGGGGCUACUGGAAUUCUCGGUGUAGCGGUGAAAUGCGUAGAUAUCGAGAGGAACACCUGAGGUGAAGACGGGUUGCUGGGCUGACACUGACGCUGAGGCGCGAAAGCCAGGGGAGCAAACGGG